rnacentral:rRNA from 1 species
AACGAACGCUGGCGGCAUGCCUAACACAUGCAAGUCGAACGAGACCUUCGGGUCUAGUUGCGCACGGGUGCGUAACGCGUGGGAACCUGCCCUUAGGUUCGGAAUAACUCCCCGAAAGGGGUGCUAAUACCGGAUAAUGUCAUCGGACCAAACAUUUAACGCCUUUGGAUGGGCCCGCGUUCGAUUAGCUAGUUGGUAGGGUAAAUGCCUACCAAGGCGACGCUCCUUAGCUGGUCUGAGAGGAUGAUCAGCCACACUGGGACUGAGACACCGCCCGGACUCCUACGGGAAGCAGCAGUGGGGAAUAUUGGACAAUGGGCGAGAGCCUGAGCCAGCAAUGCCGCGUGAGUGAUGAAGGCCUUAGGGUUGUAAAGCUCUUUUACCCGGGAUGAUAAUGACAGUACCGGGAGAAUAAGCUCCGGCUAACUCCGUG